rnacentral:lncRNA from 1 species
CCUUAGUUCUCAUGGCAAAAGGGAACACAACUAGAAGCAAAGAUAAAAUUUCUGCUGCGGCUACUCGUCACUCCAUUUCACGGGAGCAAUUCCCUCUUUGACAGCACUUCACCCUCAAGUACCAACUAUCAAAAGCGGUACAUGGGGUUAAAAAUUCAUCCCGGGACACAAAGGGCUUGAUCUGAGCACAAAAGCCUUCUAGAAUGGAAUGGAAAAUGGAACAUUUCACGCCUCUGGCCACUCAGAGUUUAUUAGCUUCUUGUGUAACAGGCAGAAAUAGACUGAAGAGAUUUUGUGGACUCUGACACAAGGUCCAACAGUGUUUAUAAGAGAGGAAAAAAAAGUGGCUAACUUUGUCAUGAGCAGAACAUGCUGGAAAACUUUAGAUAACAAAUGGCUACUUAAAAAUCCUUGCGUAUUGUGAUUUUACAUUUUGAAUGAAAAUAGACGUUCAGAAUUCAUCUUCAGAGGACAGAAGUGAGCUGCCUCCCAUACUUCCGUGCCAAAGUUUCUUCAGUGGAGAGCAGCGAUGUGGGCAGAUGGCAAAGUGGUAGAAGGACUUUAAAACCAGCCGGGGGCCACUAACAUUGCAUGGGGACAGACAACAGCAUUCAUCUUCUACUCCUCCAAGUUAACGGUGGCACUGAUCAUUUCUCAGGCCAGGUUCUCACGCUGACCCUGCCGACAUUUUCAAGAGCGGCCCCUGGAAGACGCAGCCCUGAGCCCUGCGAACAAGCUCAUGUUGUGGGCAACAAUCAAGUGGAGGCUUAAAAAGUUUGGGAACCACACGCUCAUCUGUUCUGUCAGCUUGACGUGCUAUAACAAAAUAUCCUAGACUGGGUGGCCCAAAGAACAGAAAUUUAUCGUCUCGCAGUUCUGGAGGCUGAAGUCCACCAGGGUGAGCUCUCUUCCUGGCUUGCAGACAGUUCCCUUAUCACUGUGUGCUCACAUGGAGAGGGAGAGAGAGAUUGUCCUCUUCUUAUAAGGCCACCAAUCCCAUCAGGUUAGGACCCCACCCUUAUGACCUCAUUUAACCUUAAUUACCUCCUAAAAGCCCUGUCUCCAAAUAUGGGCAAAUGGGGUUAGAGCUUCAACACAUGAACUUGGGAGGGAUACAAUUCAGUCCACAGCAUCAUUCUAUACAUUUCUAUAGCACUUUCUCCUUUCUUAAAAUGGAAGUAACAGAAUGACCUGUUUACUUACCUGUGCCUCAAUAAACACGAGUUCCCUCAGGCCA